UACGGGGGGGGCAAGCGUUGUUCGGAAUUACUGGGCGUAAAGGGCUCGUAGGCGGCCAACUAAGUCAGACGUGAAAUCCCUCGGCUUAACCGGGGAACUGCGUCUGAUACUGGAUGGCUGGAGUUUGGGAGAGGGAUGCGGAAUUCCAGGUGUAGCGGUGAAAUGCGUAGAUAUCUGGAGGAACACCGGUGGCGAAGGCGGCAUCCUGGACCAACACUGACACUGAAAAGCGAAAGCCAGGGGAGCAAACGGG
rnacentral:rRNA from 1 species